rnacentral:rRNA from 1 species
CCCUUAGAUGUUCUGGGCCGCACGCGCGCUACACUGACGAAUGCAACGAGCUUAUAACCUUGGCCGAAAGGUCUGGGUAAUCUUUGAACGCUGUUCGUGAUUGGGAUAGACCUUUGCAAUUAUGGGUCUUCAACGAGGAAUUCCUAGUAAACGCAAGUCAUCAGCUUGCAUUGAUUACGUCCCUGCCCUUUGUACACACCGCCCGUCGCACCUACCGAUUGAAUGGUCCGGUGAAAUCUCGGGACGGCGGCUUGGUCGCUUGCGUCCGACUGCUGAAACUUGAUUAAACCAUAUCAUUUAGAGGAAGGUGAAGUCGUANCA